ensembl:lncRNA
GUGUUUUACUGAAGUUCCCUGUGUUCCUGAGGUCUUCUAGUGGAAGGAGCGUUAUUUCUCAACAUAGAACACACAGAAGACAGAAUUAACUCCAUGAUAUAGCUGCAUUACCACCCUGCUAUUCACUUCCUGACUUCAGCUCAAGUGCCUACAGGCCCUGUCCUACUAAGCUCUGUACAAGGCCUGACAUUUGACACCCAAGACCCCAGGACUUACACAGAGGCACAAGCGGAGGCCCUGGGGAAGAGCUGGGAGGAGAAUAUCCAUCAUUUCCAGAUGUGGACAUACGAUCCAGCUUUACCUCAGGCUGUACCCAGGUUAGCUUCUAGUGACUUAUGGCUCCAUCAAUCUGCACAGAUAUGUGCUGUGCUCCUUCAAGGGAAGUAGUUCAUCUUCUAUAUGACUGCAUCUCCACCUCUUCCAAAGUUCAAAGAACUCAGGACAAUUGCUUAUUCGGAUGGGCUUCCAGUAAGUAUAGGAGAUGUUCUCCCUGCCUUCCCCUGUGAAUCAGGACUUUCUGGUGAACUUUGAUACAGACAAAAACUUUCAGUCUCCCAUCCCCUACUGAACUUGCAAAACAUGUGGUGAUGGUGAUGAAAUAUCAGGUGAGAUUGCUCAGUAUGUUCUAAGGAGCUUUGAACUGGAAAUGGAUCAAUUUAGAGUUCUUUUCUAAAGUCAAAGGAGCACAUUUUUUACGAUCCAUUUCCCAUGAACUAACAACUGUUCCCUAACCAGCAGACAGUUUACUUGUAGCUAUUUUGACUUGCAUUAUUCCACUUAAUGAAGAUAAACAUAAGUCAGACACAGGAAAGCCACAGAAUGAGUAUGAACGGGAGUGUUCCAAGUAUUCAGCAUUUACUAGACAAAAUUGCCCAGUAAUUCUUCUUGCUUUUCACUGAGGAUAAAAAUCCCUGGAAGAUAAUAAUCAUCAUUGUUUGAACUAAUAUAGCACUUUUAUCCAGUGAUCUGAGAACACUUCCCAAACAUUAACUGCACUGAGAACAGCCCUGUGAUUAGAUUCAUAUUAUUUAAAAUACAUGUUUUACAGACAGACAAACUUGCAGGUCACCCGAGGUACCAUGACUUCCCAUGGGUCACAAAGUCAAAAGAGUACAGAGGGCUUCUGACUACCAUUUCUAUUAUUUCUGUGACUCUGCAAAGAAUACCUAAUACUGCUUACUUGAGUUCCUUAAAUUAUUCAUAUUGAAGAGACUUUUGGGAUGAAUAUAUUUUCUGCUUACGUCUACCUUUUUUUAAAAAUUGAUUCUUUUUUAGUGAUUAUUUGCAUGGCUUACACUGGGAUGUUUCAUCAUGUAAACUGUUCAUCUUUGUAAUGCUCGGGGUUUUUAACUGAUGAACGAUUAGCAACCUUGAUCAAAUGUUAUUCUUUAAUAUUUUUGAUUGGGUUAGUAUAAUAUUUUUAAGCCAGAAAAGAAAGAACAUCAAGUAUUUAAUUAAUGCAAGACUACCUUUUUGAGAAAAUCACUAUUUUUAUGGCAGGAAUAUCUUUAUCUGAACAAAACCUACUUGCCUGUGUGUUUAUAUAAAACAAAUAAUGGAGUGGCAUGAGCAUGGGUGAAAAAAAUAUUCUGGAUUAAUGUGGGUGCUCACAAAUGCUUUAAUCCACCUAUGUGGACAUGUGACAGUACAAUUAAUAACUGAUGAUGAGCAGACUUGAUGCAAUAACUGCCACCAGCAAUGAAUCAGAAAUUAUCAGAUGAGUUCUUAAAGCAAUUUAACACCUUUAUUUAAAGGCCUAUGUUUUAAGAAGUUACCUAGCCUUCCUCUGCUGCUGCUCUACUACUCAUAGGAAGUGGACUAUGAUGGUAACAUUGAAAUCUCUUGCACUGGUAACCUAAAUGGAUUGUGCUGCUCAUGAGUCUUAAAUCUGUAUCCUACAAAACCCACCAUAUUGUUAAUUUUUAAACAAAAUGAUCAACUGUUCAAUAACACAGAGGCUGGGGCAGGGGGGGGAGAGAGGAGAGGUGAGGAGCUGUCUAUGAAAGUCAUUAAUGUGGUGGACUUCAUCUCUUAGCCCUUUGUAGUAUGGCAGGAAUAAAUCCUUGAAAUUGAGCUCUGAUUAAUUAGACAAAUUUUAAGCUGGAGAUUAAAAAAGGAUGGUGAUACAGGUAAACAUUGAUUUGAGGGCCAAAGGCAUAAAAAAUGUGAUUUAGGAGAUGCAGGGAGAUAACUGUUGAUUUACAGAAACAGCAGGUACAGUACUGACCUGGAAUUUAGGGUCUCUGGGUUUUAUUCUUGAUCCUGUAAUUUUUUGCAGUCUGACCUCAAACACUUAACUUUCCCCUUUAUCCUCAAAUCUUUGGGCUAACUUGUCUGCUGAGAAUAAUCCUGUUCAGACCUUGUCCUUCCAAAAAUGCUUUUGCAAUGGCUACCUCCACAAUUUGUAUGAGUCUUGACCUGAAAUGGGACAGGCAGGUUCUUUAAAUUACAGCAGCAUACAAGAUGGGAUAAAACUAGAGUCAUUUAGUGGGGUAGGUCUCAGUGUUUUAAUUAGAAAGCUCAAAACUACCUCUUUAUUCUUUCACAUAAAGUUAGAUUUGAAGCAGAUGAUCAACAUUUAUUUAUGCAUGCGUUCAAACAAGACAACAUUUUAACUGAGAAAGCUUAAAGUUUUGUGUUUAAAAAAAAACAAAAAACAACCAAACAGCAACAAGGCUAUUUGGGAAGUGAAGUCAUCUACAGAAAACAUACCGAGACAACAAAGCAGCCUUCCUGUGUUUUUGGAUUACAGCAUGCCAUCUUUAGCAUUUAUUUCCCUAAGAGCUUGCCUUUGUUUUUUUUUUUUUUUUUUUAAUUUUAUUAACAGAUGUAUACUCCUUUCAUUGGUGUUUAUUUAAACGCCUGCCAAUAUAUCUGAAAUCAGCACAUUCUGAAUGUUGAUGCACCACCUUGCCUAAUUGACUUAGCUGGAAAAUAAACAGUGAAAGGCUAUUUUAGCAGCAAACUGGUUGAUACAGCUACUCGUUCCCUACCUUUAUCUAAGUACCACACAAGCAGACAAGCAGUGGUACCCAUAGCAUGGACACAAGGUUGCUACAUGCGUUUUGUGCGGUCUUUGGCAUUUUAGGGACUAGCUUGGUAUUGUUGUUGUUGAAUCAGAAGAAUAACAUUUUAUCUCUGCCGCUCUAAAACCUUGAUAGCAUCAAUAAAAUGUAAUCAGAACC